rnacentral:rRNA from 1 species
UACGUAGGCAGCGAGCGUUGUUCGGAAUUACUGGGCGUAAAGAGUGUGUAGGCGGUGUUCCAAGUUCGGUGUGAAAUCUCCCGGCUUAACUGGGAGGGUGCGCCGAAGACUGGAAGGCUUGAGUAUGGGAGAGGUAAGCGGAAUUCCUGGUGUAGCGGUGAAAUGCGUAGAUAUCAGGAGGAACACCUGCGGUGUAGACGGCUUACUGGACCAUAACUGACGCUGAGGCACGAAAGCGUGGGUAGCAAACAGG